UUCGUAGUGACCUGCGGAGGAUCAUUAAAAGAAUUUGUACCAAGCUUUGCUUCAAGCUUAGACAUGCAAUUCUAACACACACUGUGUACCAUUCCUGUUGCUUCCGUGGGGUGGAGCUGCUGUCUUGGGAAGCUUCAACCGUAGCUGGCUGCCUUCCUUUUCGUUGGCGGCUGCCUUCCUUUUGUUGGUGGCUACCAUCUUUUAGUUGGUGGCUGCCUUCCGUUUGUUGGUGGCUGCCUUCAUUUUGUUGGCGGCUGUCGCCCGUUUAUGGUGGGUGGCGGUCGCUGCUUUGUUUGUUGGUGGCUGGCGACGGUUGAGGGUUCUGGGGAGCGGUUCAGACCAGCCAUUGCGCUGGACUCCGCGGGAGGUAUCCUGUAAACAUUGAGCAUUUAUUUUACCUUCCGUCUGAAUUAUAUCAAUAACAUUUGUUAAAACUUUCAACAACGGAUCUCUUGGUUCUCGCAUCGAUGAAGAACGCAGCGAAAUGCGAUAAGUAGUGUGAAUUGCAGAAUUCAGUGAAUCAUCGAAUCUUUGAACGCACAUUGCGCCUCAUGGUAUCCCAUGGGGCAUGCCUUCCGGAGCGUCGGGAAAACCCCCUUCAAGCAUUUUUUUUGCUUGGUUGUGGAGGCUGAGCGUUGCCUGCGUGCACGUUUGCCUUCGAAAUUCAUUGGCGGACUGUUUCAUGUUCCAUUUGGCGUUAUAGGAUAACUCUUCGCUUGGACUCAUGAGGCUGUUCAGCCCAGAAAUAACCCCCCAUUAUUCCGGAACGACCUCAAUUAGGUAAGGAUACCCGCUGAACUUAGCAUAUCA
rnacentral:rRNA from 1 species